rnacentral:rRNA from 1 species
UAAUAUAUAUAUAUUUUUUUAAAUCAUCUCAUCUGACCUCGAAAGCAAAGUUGGGCCUGGUUAGUACUUGGUUGGGAGACUGAAUGGGAAUACUAGGUGCUGUAAGCU